rnacentral:lncRNA from 1 species
CUGCUACCAAUACAUAAUCCUCAUGAAGACAGACAGCACACGGCAAAACAUCAGGUCCAGAGUAAUCGAACUGAAUCAGUGUAGAGAGUGGGAGACAAGAGCUGGUACUGAACUUCACGACACUGACAACCGUCAUCGCCUAUCCAACCAGCGUCUCAUUCCAGGGAACUGGUUGGCACACAUGGCGAGCACCUAACAGCAGGACCGUGGCUGCCACAGGCCAAGGGGGAGGCUGCCUCAGGAGAUGUGGAGACCAGCUCGUAUCCUCAGCUGGACCUACUUGGACAGCUGGGGAGAGCACCAAGACCUCCUAAUGAGGCUGUGGAACACAGUCAUGACAACAAGCCUUGGAGCCCAUUUCUAAUCCCAGGAUCUCUCCAGAAGACUCUGCAAUGAGCGCUUCCUCCAUGCCCUCACUUCCCAGUCC